CUCUGGCUACUUUUUGACCGCUUGUCCCUGCCUGAGCCCCCCUGGUGCUCCCGGCCACGGCUCGCUCUUUACGGCAUGGCUCGGCGUGUCCUAUUACGCCGUCAGCCGAGUAGUUAGCUGCGCCCUGUGUGUGUGUACGAUCCAGCCCGUCCAGACGAGGAAACAAAGGAAAAGCGGCACAAAAUGAGAAACCGAGAAAAAGCAACGAAAAAGUGAUUUCCAGAUGAAAAUCCGACAUGAAAACUCACCAGACAUGAUGGAAGAGAACAGGAGAGGCUCUCUGGAGAAGGUCUAUGGGGCUCCACAACGUCCUUUUCUGGCUCAGCAAAAUGGCCAAGAAUGAAAUUUGUGCAAAACUCUGCAGCGCCUCUCCUCCUGCAGCCGCGGUGCUCGGGCGCCACCUAGUGCUCAAACACCACCAUGUCCUCUCCCCCCUGUGAACAUGAACCCAACCUGUCCUCUCUAGCACUGAAGUCUAAUGACAUGUUUACUGCAACUUGUAUUUCUGCAUCCAACAUCAAACCCAUAUACACACAGUUUAAAGAUUUUUACUGCGACUACAGUCGAUUUCUGGGGAAAAGGAAAAACACGGAAUGAGACAAAGGUGGUGAGACGAUACGCUUGAACGUGUCGGAUAAACACUUGUAAGUUGCUUGAUUAAAAAAGCUCCAUGAAACACAAGGUUUUAACAUCUAUAAAAAAGUAAAUCAGACUUUUAUAUUUAUGUCUAUGUAGCAUCUAUAACUGAUGCAUAAAGAUUUGAUGAAUCUUUGAUAUCAUCUGAUUUCAUCAUGUCAUCAGUAGUUUCACACAUACUCAUCAUUUUGUAAAAGCUGUCCUGUGAAUAACGUGUAUAAACAUGUAUUUAAUAAAUGUUUCGUAACACA